GACGAACGCUGGCGGCGUGCUUAACACAUGCAAGUCGAACGGAAAGGCCUGCUUUUGUGGGGUGCUCGAGUGGCGAACGGGUGAGUAACACGUGAGUAACCUGCCCUUGACUUUGGGAUAACUUCAGGAAACUGGGGCUAAUACCGGAUAGGAGCUCCUGCUGCAUGGUGGGGGUUGGAAAGUUUCGGCAGUUGGGGAUGGACUCGCGGCUUAUCAGCUUGUUGGUGGGGUAGUGGCUUACCAAGGCUUUGACGGGUAGCCGGCCUGAGAGGGUGACCGGCCACAUUGGGACUGAGAUACGGCCCAGACUCCUACGGGAGGCGGCAGUGGGGAAUAUUGCACAAUGGGCGGAAGCCUGAUGCAGCAACGCCGCGUGCGGGAUGACGGCCUUCGGGUUGUAAACCGCUUUCGCCUGUGACGAAGCGUGAGUGACGGUAAUGGGUAAAGAAGCACCGGCUAACUACGUG
rnacentral:rRNA from 1 species